GACCUGAGAUGAGCUCAGCUGGUCAGAGCAUGGUGCUGGUAACACCAAGGCUCUGGGUUUGAUCCCCAUAUGGGCCA